AGCUGAGCAGGGCGGAGAAGGUGGGCGGGGCUGAGCCGCCCCAGCCAGUGACGCGAGCAGUAGUUGAGGAAAUGUGCGCUGGUUCCCCCUGCGGUCGGGAGAUCCCGAGCCUGAGGCGGGCGUGGCAGCCCCGACCGUCCUGACAUUGCCCAGCCAGAGCAUCACGCGUCCGUUUGAGCGGCUGCUCCUACACCAGGAGCGCUCAGCUUCCCCCAGAAAACCCCCUGAGGGGUUAGCAACCACCUAGUAGGUUUCGGUCCCAAGAUUCUGAAGGUCCUUCUGAUUUCAAUUUUUAGUUUUUAAAUGAUCUGCAAAAGAAAGCCAUUUAUACGGAGUGUGGCUUUUUUAACUGUCAUUGUCCAGAGACAGCUAUGCCUCCUGACUUUCUUUAAAUGGUA